CCUAGGUCUAUGUUCCAACCAGCAGGACUUUUACAAAAGAUUCAGCCCUUCAUGCAGCCAGGUGCCAAGACUUUCCUUCCAUGAGUUAGACCACUCCCAUAAUAAAGGUUUAUUGCUGUGAACACCUCUGGCUGGUCUGACAUCUUCAUAAAAUCCUGCAGGGCUCAAAGCAGACGGCAACACACUCAGAUGGGAGCAGCUUCAGGGUGCUGAAACAAUGCCCCUGAGAUGGAUAUUUCUAGCCCUGCAGGCAACUUCUCAAGUUCAGGUGUUUGGGAACUGCUGGGUUCCUCAGUCAGAGCUGACUGGCAACAAGAGGAGGUGUUUUAGAACUACACCUUUCUCAGAGAAGCUAUGAAGAGAUGUCUAAACCCUAGGUUGGCUGGCCAAAAGACAUGGAUCUUGAGAGAAUUGUUUGGACAGUGCAAAGCCAAGGUGAAAAUGAAAUGUCUAUUUGAAUGCCACUAAGUGCUCCAUGUUUUAAUUGUAGUCUUCUUGGGAGAGAGAGUACAUGAAGAGUUGUUGUGUCAUGUUUUACCUCUUUGACAGUAUGUAUUCUUGAGUCAAUUGUGUCUUUAGCAUUGGAGUGGAGGAAAUAAAAGCUCUCCUCCACUUGCUCUACCUUAUACAGAGAGAAUCUUUCUAUUCCCUUCUGGAGAGACUCUUGAUGUAAGCUAAAACCUAAUAUCUGGAGUUAUGGGGUGAGGAUGGGUAGAACUAGAGGUAAGGAAAAGGAAUUUGAUCCCUUUCUCUAGGGGAGAGGUUCUCUUCCUCAAGACUGAGUCUAGAUUUGGGCAUGAGUCCAAAGCCAGAGACCCUUUAGGGGAAGAAGGUGAAUGACCUAGCUCCAUCCUCUCUGC